rfam:Mycobacterium heraklionense strain Davo contig_24, whole genome shotgun sequence.
GCACGCCCGUGCCUCGUGGCCUCUGUCCGAACCGACCCUGACGUACUUCCCCAACGUCAGGUUCGUGCCGUCGGGCAGGGACCUCGAGGCAGGGGCCCGGCGAU